rnacentral:rRNA from 1 species
UACGGGGGGAGCAAGCGUUGUCCGGAUUUACUGGGCGUAAAGGGCGCGUAGGCGGCUCGGCAAGUCGGGCGUGAAAGGCCUGGGCUCAACCGAGGAACUGCUUUCGAGACUGCCGAGCUAGAGUGCGGAAGGGGCAACUGGAAUUCCCAGUGUAGCGGUGAAAUGCGUAGAUAUCAGGAGGAACACCAAUUGCGAAGGCAGCUCGCUGGGACGUAACUGACGCUGAGACGCGAAAGCGUGGGGAGCAAACAGG